rnacentral:rRNA from 1 species
UACGUAGGGUGCAAGCGUUGUCCGGAAUUAUUGGGCGUAAAGAGCUCGUAGGCGGUCUGUCGCGUCUGCUGUGAAACUCAGGGCUUAACCCUGAGCUUGCAGUGGGUACGGGCAGACUAGAGUGCGGUAGGGGAGACUGGAAUUCCUGGUGUAGCGGUGAAAUGCGCAGAUAUCAGGAGGAACACCGGUGGCGAAGGCGGGUCUCUGGGCCGUAAC